rnacentral:rRNA from 1 species
AGGACGAACGCUGGCGGCGUGCCUAAUACAUGCAAGUCGAACGGUCUUUCUAUGGAAGCUUGCUUCCACUGAGGAGAUAGUGGCGAACGGGUGAGUAACACGUGGGUAACCUGCCCAUAAGAGGGGGAGUAACAUCCGGAAACGGGUGCUAAUACCGCAUAGUUUUCUUGAUCGCAUGAUCGGGAAAGGAAAGACGGCCUUUGUGCUGUCGCUUAUGGAUGGACCCGCGGCGUAUUAGUUAGUUGGUGAGGUAACGGCUCACCAAGACGAUGAUACGUAGCCGACCUGAGAGGGUGAUCGGCCACAUUGGGACUGAGACACGGCCCAAACUCCUACGGGAGGCAGCAGUAGGGAAUCUUCCGCAAUGGACGAAAGUCUGACGGAGCAACGCCGCGUGAGUGAAGAAAGGUUUUCGGAUCGUAAAACUCUGUUGUCAGAGAAGAACAAGUUGGAGAGUAACUGCUCCAGCCUUGACGGUAUCUGACCAGAAAGCCACGGCUAACUACGUGCCAGCCGCCGC